rnacentral:lncRNA from 1 species
AAGGAAAGAGAAGUCCGGAUGGAGAGCGAUUCUUCAGCCGAGACGGCCAAGGAGUCGGAAGAAAAGAAACAGAGAAUUAAAGGAAAGUCAGCCGAAGAGUCACCGGCUGAGGUGAAUAUGGUAUAUGCUCUGCCUCAAUCUUUUAAGGCAGAGUUUAUUGAGUAUGAAGAGUUUAAAGAAGAGAAGGAAGAUGGGUUUAAAGUAGCUCAGUUGCAAUUGGAAGAUGUUCAACUAGCCGAUGCAGUGGUUUUUGAGAAA